rnacentral:rRNA from 1 species
GGGCCCGCACAAGCGGUGGAGUAUGUGGUUUAAUUCGAUGCAACGCGAAGAACCUUACCAGGGUUUGACAUCCUGCGAAUCUCUUGGAAACGAGAGAGUGCCUUCGGGAGCGCAGUGACAGGUGGUGCAUGGCUGUCGUCAGCUCGUGUCGUGAGAUGUUGGGUUAAGUCCCGCAACGAGCGCAACCCACGUCUUUAGUUGCCAGCAUUUAGUUGGGCACUCUAGAGAGACCGCCGGUGAUAAACCGGAGGAAGGUGUGGAUGACGUCAAGUCAUCAUGCCCCUUACAUCCUGGGCUACACACGUACUACAAUGCUACGGACAAAGAGCAGCAAGUUCGCGAGGACAAGCAAAUCUCAUAAACCGUGGCUCAGUUCAGAUCGUAGGCUGCAACUCGACUUCGUGAAGUUGGAAUCGCUAGUAAUCG